AAAGACGAUCAGCAUGAUCAAAUUGCCCACCCUGCAGCUUCUGAUUCUCCACACUAAAUGGUGGCAGGCGUAGAAGAUAGAAUAGGACGAUUCCAGCACUAGAAUAAUGAGAACCGUAAUGAAAUUUUGGAACCUCUGGAUCAUCCCAGCUCUCAUAUCUUUUCUUAAAUUCCUCUUCCCCCUCUGGUGUCUGGCAUCCCAUUGGUUUUUCAAGCUUACGAAAUGUUUUAGGAUUGGACAAAUCCAGAGUUUCACUCUCAUAAUCUGCCAGAACCCAUGGAAACACUGGAUAUUGGGUGAGAUCACUGUAUCCACGACCAGCCAAUGUGUUAAGAUGCAUGAGGUAUUGGAAAUUGCUAAUUUCUCCAUUUUGCCACCUUUUUGAGAAGGAUUUAGCCAUCAACUUAAACAAACGACUUCCCUCGUUACUUUCUUGUUUAGUUGAACCAGAAAUUGUAGUGUCCAACCUUCAAAAUCCUCUCUCCUCUGUUGCUCUUCCUUUCCUCUCCCCUUUCUCCUCUCUCACUUUUUCCCACUUUCGCUCUCUUUCUCAUCUUCUAAACACCCUUGUUGUGACCCAAGUCACAACAACAUAUCAGCUUCAGGUCAUAAUAGUUCAUAGGAGAAGGUGAAUCAAAAUGCAGUUAACAUACCAACAACACUCAUUUCACACAGGCAUGCGAUCUCAAAUGAAUAUUGACAAUAUGGCCUGCAUAUAUGUUAUCAUCUUUCAAUUUCUUAAAUAACCAAAAAGAAGCUGCCCUGCUUCUAGAUUAUGAAAUAACAUCAAUACAUGCAUCUCAAAAACAUUAGCAUAUAACAAAUCAAGCAUAAAAUUUGUCAAGAAAAAAAAUAAUUAACAUAAGUAAUUGGUCAUUAGUUGCAUGCACACAAAAACACAAAGCUUGUAGUGAUAAAAAUAAGUGGUAAGAAGUAAAAUUCAGAACCUAGGGUUAGUAUAUGUUACUUACAUACUAUUCCUUGGAAGAUUCAUGGCAACCAGAUUUUUGAACACUUCUUCUCUCUCUUUUUUGUGGAACACCAAAAGAUCAUUACACCCAUCCAUGCUAAAUAUCUCAAUAGCAACAGGACGAAGCUGGUAAUCCCGUUUUAAAAUCUCAUGAACACUAUCAAGCUUCCACAUAUUCCAAGGAUGAGGUAAAUUACCACUACUACAUACUUUCUCCUUGCCCCAUGCACCACCAUUGUAGGCCCAUGCUCUUCCCCCACCACAUGUUUUUACCAGUGUGUUCCAGGAUGAAGUUGACUUGGACUGGAAAUCCAUACUGCCAGUAACAUCCUUCUUGACGCCCAAGGCCUGAUCAAUAACAGAGAGUUCAUCUUCGCAUUCUUUUUCACAAAUGCACCCAGAAUCAUCAAUGUAAAAAUUCUCAAUUACAUAUAAACAGAGUUCCCCAAUCAAAAAUAUACCAUCAAGUUUGUCCAGACCCACAACUCGUUCACAGUUAUAUUUGAAUCGUAUCUUUUCAAGAGGUUCCAGAUAUGGUCUAAUCAGAUAUUCACCAUUAUCAUUCAGUUCCUUCUCUGAUUUAUCAUCUGUGACUUUGACAUCAUCAAUUUUGUUAGAAGAAGAUUGCCUUGGAGAUCCUAGAUCAGAUCUUGCAUGCAUGCUUUCUGACACUGGGGCAGACACGGUACUAGACUUGACACCAAACUCGAGAGCAGAGUGAAGACUUGCAUCAUUCAUACUGCUAGCUCUAUCAUCAUUACAACCACUCUUAACAGAAGAUACACCUUUGGCAUCAUUUGGUUCUUUAAAAAACUCACCAUACAUCUCAUCAUCAACACCAUUUUGUUUAGCAUUGUCAGUCGCAAGAUUGAAAAAGAGUUCAGAGUCAGUAUCAGAAGCAUCAGGACCAUCCUCAUGUUUUCCUUUGGACAACUCUACUUCUUCUAAUUCAAACUCUCCAUUGAGAACAUUUUGGAUACUUUCAAUCCUCAAUUUGCAGCGCUCAAGCUUUUUGCGCAUCCUAUAUGGACCUUCAAUGGGACAAAGCUGCCACUCAGGUUCUUCAGUUGCAGAAGAUUUACGCAUUGGGAAUAUUCCCCUCUCAUGUACAAGUUGUUGAAGAAGGGUUUGCCACUCACUUUCAGCGUGGAGAACCCAUCCAUAUUUAUCUUGGCGGACAACUCUCAACUCAGUAGACAUUGCAUCACGAACCAUUUCCAAUGCAUAUCUCCGUUCAGUUACCUGUUCCCAAUGUCGAAGAUCUAGCUUCAAAAUGUCUCGUGACCUUCUCCCCAUUUCCCUCUUACGACGACCCUCAACACCUUUUGUUCUCACCCCUGGAAAUUUUGCUGAUCCAGCAAUAUACUGGUGCCACAUAAUAGCUGCACAUUGUUCCAACACUUUGUUAACCAUCUGUUCGGAAUUCUGAAACCACUCAAAGAAAGCAGAUAGACUUCCGGUCAAUAAUCUGUCAAAACCACCAUGUAGUACAUCCAUAUGCUGUCCUUGGUUUGGUUUGCAGACAAGCAAGUCUUCUAGUGCAGCCCUUCGAUGCACCAAUAGAUACUUGACAAUAUCAACAGCCACAUUUUGAACAUUUCGCCUUUGGUCAUGGAGAAGAUAUACUAGAUUUACACAAAGACAGCAAUUUAAAUCAGUAUCAAGAUUGGUGGGACAGAAUAUAAUUCUCCUGUGAGCAACUAAUAACUGUAGAACUGUGCAGAUGUCAAUUCCUGAAUCUUCUUGUGAAGCAUUAGGGGAUAAUCUCUUCCUGGGUUCAAUAUGCAAACCUAAGCAUAAAAGGAGAUCAUCUUCUCCAAUAGUGGCCAGGAAAGUUGGCAGAAAACAAUACAAUAUCAUACGAUUUGUGUUCUUGAGAAGUGAAUGUAUAUAAGCCUCAAGUUGCCUGCUUCCUCUUGUAAUAGACAGAAGACCCUUUCCUGCAGGUGCUGCUUCUUCAAUUCGCCCAUCUUUGUUUGCCAAUUGCAACAUCGACAACAAAAAUUCCAGAGUUUUCAACACACCAGCAGGUUGAGGAAAAGCACCCAUAUAGACACGAUCCACUAUCAUCCAGCAUAAUGCAUCUAAAUUUGAGGACCAUCGACUUUUGUCUAACUUCUUCUCAUCUUCCUCAUCAUCGCGCAAAAGACGCCUUUCCACAAAGUUCAUCAGCCUACUAAGACACAAACCCUGGAAAACCAACACACUUUCAACAUCAACAUAUAAAGGUACCAUUUCUAAGACACCCUCUAUGAUCUGUGCUGCUUUCAUCUGUUCAAUGAUAAAAUCAGAAAGAACCUCAGCCAUAAAAUCCAAAACAGCAGUAGCUCCCGCAGAACACGGACCACCCCCAUAACCAGAAUCACCAAUUUCAAGGAGCAGCUUCGCACUGACUGAAUAAGAUGAGCUUGCAUUAGAUGGACCUUGAGUAGACCUCAAGUCUGGAGAUGCAUCAUAUUCACUAGCAGAAACAAAGGACUCUAUGGAAGGAGUGGCUUGUGUGGAAGCUUUGUAUUCAUUGUGACCAGCACCUCCAAGCCAGGAUGUCAAUGCAACAGCUGGAGAUGAAGAUGAAGUAAGAGGGGUUCUUGAAGUAGACUUGUCAGAUAUAAUGGGAGAAUCUAGUAUGUUGAGAGAUGCAGAACUCUGGGAAUCUUCCACUUGAAUAGGAUCUAUGAUGCCAUCAAUAUUUCGAAUGUUUGAUUCACUUGAGCUAGAGGUGGCAGAGACCUGGUCAACAAUAUCACCAUCCAAGUUCUCAACAGCUUGGACAAUUUGAACUGAUUUUUUCAAAUCCUGAUGUAAGUCGGUGAUUUUGAUCUCCACUUUAUCAUCAUUCAGAUAGUUUUGGGCCACAGGCAUGUCAUCAGAACUUGUACUUACAUGUGCCUGAGGGAAGCUUCCAACACUAAUGGAUGUCUUGGCAGAUUGUUCCUGUUCAUGAGGCAAACUAGAGAACGUAUUUUGAGAACUACCAGUGUCAUCACAAUCAUUCAAGUUCUUUUCUUCUGCCUUCUCAGAGAGUGUUUUUGACAUAUUCACUGCAUAAGCUGCCCUAAUGCAAGAAAAAUAAAGUUCAAUGCAACUUUCAAGAAAUUCCAGUCUUCUGCAAACAGCAGAAAAAGGGGGACACAUCUUUGCCAGAUCAACCAUAAAUCUCAGAACAGAGGUUGCAGCAGCAGGAGCUGAUGCCUCACCACCCAUUAAACGGGCUGCAUAUGUCUUAUGCAUCAGAGCUUCACCCUGAAGCUCUCCUGCCAUGUCUCCAUUCCCAUCAACGAGCUCUGCUACAAGGCUAGCACCAACCUGGGAGAGAUUGCCAGUUUGGUUAGCAACCAUUAACUGCAUGCUCAACCUAUCAAAUGUGGAUUUUGCCAUUGCAAUCACAGAUUCCAAAAGUUCCACAAAUUUCAAGUCCAAAUAACUUCCAUCACUUGGUAUAAGGCCAUGAAAAUCUAGCAUGCGGACCUCCGGUAGUCUAGGGUAAACAGGCUUUCCAAAUACCAAACAGAACAAAAUAUAAUAAAUAUCUGGAGAAUCAUAGAAACUUGGAAGAACCCUCAUCAAACCCUGAUAACCACCGCUGGUGCGAAAUUUAAGUGCAAAUGUGGGAGAGGAAGCAAGACACACACCAAGAAGAGUCAUGAUCCAUCUCAUACUAGUAGGAUGCACAGCUUCAUCAAGAAAAUAUGUUAUCAAUUUUGAUGAUACAAUCUUAUGCCACUGCUCUAGCAACUCCUCUGAUUUGAUGGUUACUUGUAGAUCAAUAAGCAUCUCCAGCAGCAUGUUCCUUACAAUUACAUGCUUACCCAUCGAUUCUCGCAUUAUGUGAUGCCGUGGUUUCAGAUCAGGAGGAUCAAAAGUCAUAAUCACAAACCUAACCACAUUUUCAAGUUCAGAUGCCAAAAACCCAUCUUCUAAAAUUACUCCAAGCAAAACAACCAAUUUCUCCAAAACAGAAACUUCAACGUCACCACGCUGCAGAGUCACCAGUAAAUGUUGAACAAGAUUAAUUCGCCGCAGAACUGUGAGGUUAUGAUUCCUGUACCAGUGCAUAGACACUAAAUGCUCAAGAAAUCCCAGAAGAGCAAUUUGAAUUGAAACUGGAGCUGUUACCCACAGUGUCCAAUCCAACAAGACAUGCUCAACCAUAUCUGCAUUAGACAAGACAAUGCAAUUUGAAGUUUCAACUGGCAAAUCAGAAUUUUCUAGCUCUGAAAUAUGACUAAAUGAAUCUUUUUGAGCAGAAAAGUCAUCCAUAUCUCCAUGAGAUCCAAUAGAAGAAGUUUCAUCGUGAAAUUUUGACAAGCUAAGAUCCACAAAUCCAGCCUCCUGCAUAGUUGCUGCAGGUGAUGAAGUACUUGGCGUAUUUUCCAACUUCUUUGGUUCAGAAAACGAAGCCUCACAUGCUGCAAUUUGGAAAAAGAACUCAAGAGAUUGCAUGUCAAAUAAUGACAUUCUACGACGCAGAAAUAGAGCUAGCAAAUGGUAACCCCUGCACGUUUGCAUGUCUCUGACAUUCUGGGGAUUCUGAUGAAGUGCACAGGCAAGUAAUGUCAAUGCCAUGUGAAGCAUAUCCCUGGUUUCAGAAGCUUCAACAAGGGCCAGGAUAACAGGUAUCCCACCAACAGGGCGGAUUGUAUCUCCAAUCACACACUGCCUGCAAACAUAGAUAUCCCCAUGAAGACGUCCGAAUCGUGGUAUCCCCCCAAUAGGAGAAGCAGCAGCUGACAUAGGGUCAACCAGAUUAAGCAAGGAGAAUGUCCCAGAUGCUCGAAUAGCUUCGGUACAAGUUCCAUCAAAUGCAAAAAUAAGUUUCUUUCCACAGAGCUGCAAUGAAAGGUUGCUUAGCCUCUCCAAAUCCCAAACAAUCCCACUGCCAUCAGACUUAGAAUCCCCAGGCUUUGCAGCACUUUCAACCUUUUGUGUGUUUGCCAAGGGCAAGUCAGCAUCUAACAAAUCUAAGAUCGCCAUGCUACCACCACCACAAGCCUGGUUAGGGACAAAACGCAGAAGAUCUGAGUCUUGGAAGAGCCCUCUAUAUCCCCGACCAAGAAUAUACAUGAAACAUAUGCAACCUGAGGUAAGCACCUCCUCAAAAAGAUAGCAAGAACGGAGUUUCCAUGUCAAGUCACUAACUCUUGCACAACUAGGUGGUGUACCAAUGAUCACCUGCAAGGGUUUUCCCACAGGAGAUGGAGAAUAACCUAGCUUCCCUGUGUGCCUCAGCUUUCCAUUGAGAUAUACAUAUGCAACACUAGCUUGAAAUAGUCCAGCAAGAGCAUUUGGUUUGCUAUGAACAAUUGCAAGGUGAUGCCACCUGCCUUCCUCCAAUUCUAACCCAGGAAAGGACAAAGAACUAGAGUUGCUUGUUGCAAGGGUUAGAACACCAUCCUGCCGAAGAUAAAGUUCUGCAAAGAACGCAUUUUCAUUAUUAGCUGUACCAACAGAAAAUAUCCGAAGAAUAUGGCGUUCAUUGUGCUGCCCAUUAGAGCCAUUAUGCCUCUUAGAAGGGCCAACUUUGGAAGGUUCUGUUUCCUUCACUUGUGAUUUCAAGAAAUUUCUGAACUGAAACCAACAUACAAAUGAAUAUCCAGCAGCUGGAGGCCAAGAUCUUUCUCCCAGAGACACCUGAACCGAAGCAUGGCCAAUCUUACUCAUGUCCAUCUCAACAAAUGGUGCCAGAGAAACAUUUUCUGAGGUCAUAUCUUCCAUUAGAACUAAUCUUUCCAUCAUCUCAACAAGAUUAUGGCCUGAAUUCAUCAGCCUCAUUUGUAGAAUGUAUCUAAUAAGCAGUCGAAGUUCUGAUGCAGACAACCUAUAUGCCCCAAGAACUUCCACAAUCUUCAGCACAUAUGAAAGCAAUGGUGAUGAACCCAAAAGGAAAGGGAGAAUUGUCUCCAAUAAAAGCUCCACGCAACCUACAGAAGUGAGGCUUUCCUGAUUAAAAGGGCCAGCACGAGCAAGCCUAUCAAUAAGAUUCAGCAAUUCUAACUGCACCUUGGGAGUAAAGAGCAAUAGUGAAUGGAUCAAAACUCUAACAGCACCAGCAUUGUACACUCGUUCCUUAUCAGGAUUGAACAGACCCGAAGGAAUUGUCAUAAGAGAACUAGCUGACUCAGAUUCUAUCAUAUCAACCGGUGUGGAACUAUCUGAUGAUAAGAAUGGUGGAAGCACAAGUUCGAGAGCUAUCUCCAACAACAACUGUAUGACUUGCUUUUCACAUUCCACAGAAAGCAAGCCAGAUUCAGCUAGAAGAUCAUAGAAAGUUUGGGAUGAUAUAAUAGAAUGCAAUUUUGUCCUGUUAAUAGCAUUGCCACAGACUCCAGCUGUCAUGAGGCGCAAUAAGUAUGUAAAAACUUUGAUACGAACCACCAAAGAAGAGUCAUCCACCAAUCCUUCAUCACCUUGGAAACUGUGGAGUGUGGUCAAAAGAAGAGAAAAGCCAGUAGCUUCACCAAAAACCCUCUGAGCUGAACUGUUAGCUCCCAAUAUGCGCCACAAAGUACCCAUUGUGUCACAUUUUGCAUCAUUUUCAAACCUAUAUUGAUGUCCUGCACUACUUGUAACCAUUCCACUUUUGAGAACUUCAACAACUGCACCUAACUCUUCAGGAUGAGCCUGUGUAACAUCUUCAGUGAUCAAACAUGACAAUAUUCGGAGGACCCCAGGACGAUGAACAUUAGACACCAAAAAAGGAAGAACAAUCGUCACACCAUUAGCUGAACGAAAUGAUGCCUGAUUGCCUUCAGCUUUCUUCACUAAAGAGACCAUGCAAUCCCAUGCAACAUAUAUCGUAUCCUCAAUUUCAAAGAUGGGAAACUUUCCUGAACCAGAUUCCAAUAGCCUGGGUGAAGAAAUAAUAGCAUCUUUACUGUCUAAGUGUUUCUUGAAGCUGUUUGAGCCUGAAUUUCUUUCGGACUGGUUAGAGUUAACACUCUCUUGAUCUGGACCCAAAAGAAACUUGUGCUGCUUCAAAUCAUCUAACAGUACUUCCAGCACCCCAACUUCUCGCAAGACUUUCUUGUAUUGCUGAUCAAAAGAUAAAAGUUUUACAAAGAAAGAGAGUAUUGUGUGCUUCAAUUCUGAUGUUAUUGGUUGCUGCAAUAAGCAACAAAGAGCAAGCAAUUCUUGCUCAGGAAUACAAUUCACAACAGUCACAGCAUAUUCAAGAAUUUUCAAGAUUAUCUCUUGCAAAGAAGGAGGGAAACCAGCCAUAUUUAGAAUAAAAAGUGGAACUGUCCGUAAUUGCUGACACAAUUUAUAGUUUUCAAUAUGACUUGAGAAUAUCUUAAACAUUCUGUUUAAUACUUCUGCCUGCAACUCUCUGCUGUCUGCCUUCAGAAAAAUGUCUUGCAACAUCUGGACUGCUUCAAGGUCUUUGACUCGGGUAUUGUCCUUCUCCCAAUUUUCAUCAGCAAGCCGAUCAAUAGAUGGUGUACGACUUCUACUAUGGCUACUAGCCUUGGUGUGAGAAGCUCUUGAACCUUUGCCUCCAGAUGAUCCUAAAGGUUCAACUGGACCAGUUUGAGCCAGAUUAACGAGAACAUCAAGCAACCUAGAUAAUGCAGGUGAUAAAUGCUGUAGUGAGGGUUCUUUUCUUGUCAAAUCCCUUCUCUCUUCAUCCAAGGCAUAAGAACCAUCUAAAGUAUAUUCUUGGUCAACAGAACUUUUUGAAUAAAUAGACUGAGAACCCUGAUUUUGUGGCAUGGAGGACAGAACCAAUGCAAACUGAACAAGGAACUGAUAACCAUGGGCAUUAUGUAUGUCUUCCCUUAGCCUGACACCACCGGCCUCAGGUCUAUAUGACAAUUCCACACAUUCAAGCAACAAAUCCACAAUGCCCAUAGUGUAGGCAGAAUCACCCAAGUCGGGGUUAAAAUCUUUAACAGCCAUUAAGAGAACCCUUAUCAGAUGAUGUUUGCGUAUAUAUCUAGCUGUGCUUCCAUUGUCGUUCACCAAAAGAAGACCAAGUAUCUGCAUUGCAUGCCUAUGAAGUUG
rnacentral:misc_RNA from 1 species